CAGCAGUGGGGAAUCUUGCGCAAUGGGCGAAAGCCUGACGCAGCCAUGCCGCGUGAAUGAUGAAGGUCUUAGGAUUGUAAAAUUCUUUCACCGGGGACGAUAAUGACGGUACCCGGAGAAGAAGCCCCGGCUAACUUCGUGCCAGCAGCCGCGGUAAUACGAAGGGGGCUAGCGUUGCUCGGAAUUACUGGGCGUAAAGGGAGCGUAGGCGGACAUUUAAGUCAGGGGUGAAAUCCCGGGGCUCAACCUCGGAAUUGCCUUUGAUACUGGGUGUCUUGAGUAUGAGAGAGGUGUGUGGAACUCCGAGUGUAGAGGUGAAAAUUCGUAGAUAUUCGGAAGAACACCAGUGGCGAAGGCGACACACUGGCUCAUUACUGACGCUGAGGCUCGAAAGCGUGGGGAGCAAACAGGAUUAGAUACCCUGGUAG
rnacentral:rRNA from 1 species